GAUGAACGCUAGCGGCAGGCUUAAUACAUGCAAGUCGAGGGGCAGCACGGUUAGCAAUAACUGGUGGCGACCGGCGCACGGGUGCGUAACACGUAUACAAUCUACCUUAAACAGGGGGAUAGCCUUUCGAAAGAGAGAUUAAUACCCCGUAAUAAAUUGAACGGCAUCGUUUGAUUUUGAAAGCUCCGGCGGUUUGAGAUGAGUAUGCGUCUGAUUAGCUAGUUGGUGAGGUAACGGCUCACCAAGGCGACGAUCAGUAGGGGAUCUGAGAGGACUAACCCCCCACACUGGUACUGAGACACGGACCAGACUCCUACGGGAGGCAGCAGUAAGGAUAUUGGUCAAUGGAGGCAACUCUGAACCAGCCAUGCCGCGUGCAGGAUGACGGCCCUAUGGGGUUGUAAACUGCUUUUAUACAAGAGAAAACCCUGGUAACGUGUACCAGGUUGAUAGUAUUGUAAGAAUAAGCAUCGGCUAACUUCGUGCCAGCAGCCGCGGUAAU
rnacentral:rRNA from 1 species